GAUUCGGUAGCUCAGCGGUAGAGCGUUCGAUUGCAGCUCGAAUGGUCACGCGUUCAAAUCGCGUCUGAAUCU